CUCAAAUGAAUUGACGGGGGCCCGCACGAGCGGUGGAGCAUGUGGUUUAAUUCGACGCAACGCGAAGAACCUUACCUACUCUUGACAUCUACAGAAUUUUGCAGAGAUGCAGAAGUGCCUUCGGGAACUGUAAGACAGGUGCUGCAUGGCUGUCGUCAGCUCGUGUUGUGAAAUAUUGGGUUAAGUCCCGCAACGAGCGCAACCCUUAUCCUUAGUUGCCAGCACGUAAUGGUGGGAACUCUAGGGAGACUGCCGGUGAUAAACCGGAGGAAGGUGGGGACGACGUCAAGUCAUCAUGGCCCUUACGAGUAGGGCUACACACGUGCUACAAUGGUACGUACAGAGGGAGGCAAGCUGGCGACAGUAAGCGGAUCUCACAAAGCGUAUCGUAGUCCGGAUUGGAGUCUGCAACUCGACUCCAUGAAGUCGGAAUCGCUAGUAAUCGUGAAUCAGAAUGUCACGGUGAAUACGUUCCCGGGCCUUGUACACACCGCCCGUCACACCAUGGGAGUGGGUUGCAAAAGAAGUAGAUAGCUUAACCUUCGGGAGGGCGUUUACCACUUUGUGAUUCAUGACUGGGGUGAAGUCGUAACAAGGUAACC
rnacentral:rRNA from 1 species